rnacentral:rRNA from 1 species
GACGAACGCUGGCGGCGUGCUUAACACAUGCAAGUCGAACGGAAAGGCCCUGCUUUUGUGGGGUGCUCGAGUGGCGAACGGGUGAGUAACACGUGAGUAACCUGCCCUUGACUUUGGUAUAACUUCAGGAAACUGGGGCUAAUACCGGAUAGGAGCUCCUGCUGCAUGGUGGGGGUUGGAAAGUUUCGGCGGUUGGGGAUGGACUCGCGUCUUAUCAGCUUGUUGGUGGGGUAGUGGCUUACCAAGGCUUUGACGGGUAGCCGGCCUGAGAGGGUGACCGGCGACAUUGGGACUGAGAUACGGCCCAGACGCCUACGGGAGGCAGCAGUGGGGAAUAUUGCACAAUGGGCGGAAGCCUGAUGCAGCAACGCCGCGUGCGGGAUGACGGCCUUCGGGUUGUAAACCGAUUUCGCCUGUGACGAAGCGUGAGUGACGGUAAUGGGUAAAGAAGCACCGGCUAACUACGUG